rnacentral:rRNA from 1 species
AUUGAACGCUGGCGGCAGGCUUAACACAUUCUAGUCGUGUGGGGAAGGGUAGCUUGCUACCUAACCUAGCGGCGGACGGGUGAGUAAUGCUUAGGAAUCUGCCAUUUAGUGGGGGACAACAUUCCGAAAGGAAUGCUAAUACCGCAUACGUCCUACGGGAGAAAGCAGGGGAUCUUCGGACCUUGCGCUAAAUGAUGAGCCUAAGUCGGGUUAGCUAGUUGGUGGGGUACAGGCCUACCAAGGCGAUGAUCUGCAGCGGGUCUGAGAGGAUGUUACGACAAACUGGGGCGGGGAAACGGCCCAACCUCCUACAGGAGGCAGGAGUAGGGGAUAUUGGACCAUAGUCGGGGGCCUGAUCCAGCCAUGCGGCGUGUGUGAAGAAGGGCUUCUGGUUGUAAAGCACUUGAAGCGAGGAGGAGGAUACUUAGAUGAAUACUCUAGGAUAGUGGACGUUACUCGCAGAAUAAGCACCGGCUAACUCUGUGCCAGCCGCCGCGGUAA